rnacentral:rRNA from 1 species
GACGAACCGUCCAAACGUUAUUCGGUAUUACUGGGCUUAAAGAGUUCGUAGGCGGCUUGGUAGGUGAGAUGUGAAAGCCCACGGCUCAACCGUGGAACAGCGUUUCAAACCACUAAGCUUGAGGAUGGCAGGGGUAAUGGGAACUGAUGGUGGAGCGGUGAAAUGCGUUGAUAUCAUCAGGAACACCGGUGGCGAAGGCGCAUUACUGGGCCAUUUCUGACGCUGAGGCACGAAAGCGUGGGGAGCAAACAGG